rnacentral:tRNA from 5 species
UGCCGCGUGGUGCAAUUGGUAGCACACCACACUCUGAAUGUGGGUGUUCUAGGUUCGAGUCCUAGCGCGGCAGCCA